GGAGGCCUUAAGAGUUUGAUGAAAGCUGUGGACCUCCAUCCCAGAAAAAUAAUACACAUCCACAAAAAAGUUCAGAUAAUUUCAAAAGCUUCACUGAUACCCUGGAGCUUAUUCACGAACUCAAGGACAACAACGCCUGAAAGAAUAUACUCUCUCCACCCGGUUUUCCUGAGAAAACUGAGAUCAGUCGGGCAUAGACGUCUGCAAUGGCGCUGGGAUCCCUCUCGACACUAGCGCGGUGGGGUUACUGAGAGCGACCCGUUGAUUCUAGCUUCGAAGGACCUCCUCCUGCAGUCGGGAGGUAAGUGUCCACAAAGGGCUGUGAUGGAAGGCAGACGUUCUUGGACUUGGAUCCGAACUGAAGAUCCUCAUUGAGCGCAUCAGGGAGGCAAGGUUUCUAUAGCCCAUUGAUUUACCUUCUCGAGACUAGCUAGAAUCUGAGAGCGCCAUAUAGGGAGGAGGGCACCUCUCCUGCCAAAAACAUCGACGGCUCCACUGCAGACCCCCACCUCUCCUCCUCGUCCAGCAACACAUCCCCUCCUCCCCUCAACAUUCAAUGCUCUUUAGACUCAGGACCAACUCACCUAAAAUGGGGGUGAGGGGAAAGAUCCUGAUUAACUGAGUCUCAGGAGAUUAUACUGGGAAAUUCUUUAUAAAAGAGUUCCUGGAUUGGGGGCAGGGCUUUGCUUGAGGGGGUCUCCAAUAGCUUGGGAGCUGACCGUGUGCCGGGCCGCUUCCCGCGGGGCCCCCAGCUCCGUGCGCCCCAUGCCCGGCGGCGCCUGGGCCUCGGGGACCCGCAGAGCAGGCGAGCGCGCCGUCCCCGCCUCCAGGCGGGCCGGGGGCGGGGACCCCUCCCCUUCGCCCAUCCCCUGAGGGCCGGCCGCCCUGGCGCUUGAGGGAGGGCCGGGCGGAGGGGGGAGAGGGCGGCGGGGCGGGGCUCGGGCCACUGCGGAGCGGGGGGCGGCGCCGCGGGGCCCCGGUGAACCGGGACCGGGGCGCACGGGCCGGGCCGAGCCGAGGCGGCCGCCGAGCCGGGUCGGAGCCGUCGGGGGCCUGGCGCACCCGGCCUGGCCGCUUUCCCCGCGGCGCUGGGAUCUUGGCUGGGGGCGGCGCCG
rnacentral:lncRNA from 1 species